CGGGCUGUAGCGCAGAUGGUAGCGCGCAUCGUUCGGGACGAUGAGGUCGCGGGUUCAAAUCCCGCCAGCCCGACCA
rnacentral:tRNA from 1 species